rnacentral:rRNA from 1 species
GACGAACGCUGGCGGCGUGCCUAAUACAUGCAAGUAGAACGCACAGUUUAUACCGUAGCUUGCUACACCAUAGACUGUGAGUUGCGAACGGGUGAGUAACGCUUAGGUAACCUGCCUGGUAGCGGGGGAUAACUAUUGGAAACGAUAGCUAAUACCGCAUAAUAUUUAUUAUUGCAUGAUAAUUAAUUGAAAGGUGCAAUUGCACCACUACCAGAUGGACCUGCGUUGUAUUAGCUAGUAGGUGAGGUAACGGCUCACCUAGGCGACGAUACAUAGCCGACCUGAGAGGGUGAUCGGCCACACUGGGACUGAGACACGGCCCAGACUCCUACGGGAGGCAGCAGUAGGGAAUCUUCGGCAAUGGACGAAAGUCUGACCGAGCAACGCCGCGUGAGUGAAGAAGGUUUUCGGAUCGUAAAGCUCUGUUGUAAGAGAAGAACGGGUGUGAGAGUGGAAAGUUCACACUGUGACGGUAUCUUACCAGAAAGGGACGGCUAACUACGUG